rnacentral:rRNA from 1 species
AUACGUAGGGUGCGAGCGUUGUCCGGAAUUACUGGGCGUAAAGAGCUCGUAGGUGGUUUGUCGCGUCGUCUGUGAAAUUCCGGGGCUUAACUCCGGGCGUGCAGGCGAUACGGGCAUAACUUGAGUACUGUAGGGGAGACUGGAAUUCCUGGUGUAGCGGUGAAAUGCGCAGAUAUCAGGAGGAACACCGGUGGCGAAGGCGGGUCGCUGGGCAGUAACUGACGCUGAGGAGCGAAAGCAUGGGUAGCGAACAGGAUUAGAUACCCUGGUAGUCCAUGCCGUAACCGGUGGGCGCUAGGUGUAGGGGUCUUCCACGACUUCUGUGCUGUAGCUAACGCAUUAAGCGCCCCGCCUGGGGAGUACGGCCGCAAGGCUAAAACUCAAAGGAAUUGACGGGG